rnacentral:rRNA from 1 species
AUUACCUCAGUAACGGCGAGUGAAGCGGUAACAGCUCAAAUUUGAAAUCUGGCUCUUUCAGGGUCCGAGUUGUAAUUUGUAGAAGAUGCUUUGGGUGUGGCCCUGGUCUAAGUUCCUUGGAACAGGACGUCAUAGAGGGUGAGAAUCCCGUAUGUGACUAGGCGCUUUCGCCCGUGUAAAGCUCUUUCGACGAGUCGAGUUGUUUGGGAAUGCAGCUCAAAAUGGGUGGUAAAUUUCAUCUAAAGCUAAAUAUUGGCCAGAGACCGAUAGCGCACAAGUAGAGUGAUCGAAAGAUGAAAAGCACUUUGGAAAGAGAGUUAAACAGUACGUGAAAUUGUUGAAAGGGAAGCGCUUGCAACCAGACUUAGGCGCGGCCGAUCAUCUCGGGUUCUCCCGGGUGCACUCGGUCGUCUCUAGGCCAGCAUCGGUUUGGGUGGUGGGAUAAAGGCCUUGGGAAUGUAGCUUCUUUCGGGGAGUGUUAUAGCCCUCGGUGCAAUGCCGCCUACCUGGACCGAGGACCGCGCUUCGGCUAGGAUGC